AUGGGCUGCGGUCCCAGGACCCAAACAGCGUUCUGUGAUUGCGGGAUGCACGGGGCCAGAAGGAGAGGGUCACAGUCCUGGUCAAGGUUCCCAGAACUGCAGCCAUCCAUCUUCGAUGCUGGGGAGCACCGUUCCUGUCAUUGGGAUUUCCUUUCAUUAAUUCAACAAACUUUGAGCACCUUCUCUGCUCUAGGGGAUACACUGAUGAGCAAAACACACAUUCCUGCCUGCAUGGGGUCUGGUUUAAACGUGAGGGGAGGCAGCCUUUAUCCCACACAGUGAUUAAUUACAAACCGCACCCCACCCCCAAGUGCCCUCCAGAGCCCAGCAUUGGUUUGUAAAAUGGGACUAAAUCUGGGGUGCAAGGACAUUUCCUGAAAAAUGACAGGAGGUGAGAGCUGAAGGAUGUGAAGGAGUUAACUCAGGGCAUCCUGGGAAGAAGGCUGGACUCUUGAGCACGGGGACAGUACAUGGUGAGAUCAGGGCCCAAGGACCGCAGGGCACAGAGGGAUCAAUCAGUGAGUCCAAACUCAACCAGGGGAGUGACAAGGAGAUGCUGGAAAACUCCCAUGGCUGCUGCCAAGGACUGGGGUGCAAGAGGGAACUGGGGUUGGGGGGCUGAGAAUCUUUUCUCUGGACUGCAGUGGUGGUUCCAUAGCGGUACAAAACACAGAACUGGAUACCAAGAAGGGUGAAUUUCACUGUAAAUUGCAUCUCAGCUAGCCUUGCUUUAUAGUUUUUUUAAAAAAAGAGAAAGAAGCUGGCAAGGUGGGCCAGUACGGCCCCAUGGACCCUAGCAAGGGAUCUGGUCUUGAACCAGCCAUGCUGGCCGCUGAGGAAGGCGGACACCUGGAGCGAUUUUGGAGGGCCCUUGGCACUCAGCAGCGUGACCUCACAGGCCGGGACCUCCGGGAUAGGCACUGCCUGGUGCCACAGACACGGUCCCCCCCUCCCCGGGCUGCAGCUGCUGCUCCUGGCCUCCCUGACCCGGAAGUUAGGAGGAUUUGCUGUUCCUGUAGAAGAUAAGAGUCGCAACUGUGAACUCCAAGUGCCGUAGGGGAGAGGGGUGGGGGAGGGGUCUGCCUCCCUGUGAGUGGCAGAGAGUGAGCCCACCUGUCCUGAGCGCGGCUGGGCCCAGAGCGGGGGCGGGCGGUGGAAGGGGGGCCUGCACCCCACCCUUGGUGCUGACAGCAGAAGCUGGCCCUCAGGCCAUCACCACAGCCUCGGGGUGCAUCCUGAACACAAACCUGCUUGGCCAGUCUGCACCAGCAGACCAGAGGCCUCCAGAGAAGCGGCACUGCAGAAAGGAAGCGUGAGCCCACCCGGGGACUCGUUCCUGGGUUGACCAGCCCUCCUGCCCACCCCACUCCCCAUUUACCUAGUGUGGCCAGAACCAGCUCACCCAAGCUGUGGGCUGACCUCAGCAGGGCAGUGGUGGGCCCUGGGCACCCGAGGGCUCCAGCACAGAGG
rnacentral:lncRNA from 1 species